rnacentral:misc_RNA from 1 species
CAACCCUCAAGCGCUUUAGUGCUUGGUGUUGGGGCUUCUGCUUGUAGCAGGCCCUGAAAGAUAGUGGCGAGCUCGCCGUGACCCUGAGCGUAGUAGUUUACACCUCGCUUCUGUGGCUCGCGGCGGGUUCUCAGCCGUGAAAACCCCCUAAUUUUUACAA